rnacentral:rRNA from 1 species
UACGGGGGGAGCAAGCGUUGUUCGGAUUUACUGGGCGUUAAAGGGCGCGUAGGCGGCCUCCGCAAGUCAGUUGUGAAAUCUCCGGGCUUAACUCGGAACGGUCAAGUGAUACUGUCGUGCUAGAGUGCAGAAGGGGCAACUGGAAUUCUCGGUGUAGCGGUGAAAUGCGUAGAUAUCGAGAGGAACACCUGCGGCGAAGGCGGGUUGCUGGGCUGACACUGACGCUGAAGCGCGAAAAGCUAGGGGAGCGAACGGG